AGCAGCCGCGGUAAUUCCAGCUCCAAUAGCGUAUAUUAAAGUUGUUGCAGUUAAAAAGCUCGUAGUUGAAUUUCGGGAUUAGUGCGCUGGUCAUGCCUUUGGUAUGUACUGGUGUUACUGAUUUCUACCUUCUGAAGAACCGUUAUGUCAUUCAUUUGGUGUGGCGGGGAAUCAGGACUGUUACUUUGAAAAAUUAGAGUGUUUAAAGCAGGCUCGCGCUUGAAUACAUUAGCAUGGAAUAAUGAAAUAGGACGUUUGACCCUAUUUUGUUGGUUUCUAGGAUCGACGUAAUGAUUAAUAGGGAUAGUUGGGGGCAUUAGUAUUCAAUUGUCAGAGGUGAAAUUCUUGGAUUUAUUGAAGACUAACUACUGCGAAAGCAUUUGCCAAGGAUGUUUUCAUUAAUCAAGAACGAAAGUUAGGGGAGUCGAAGACGAUCAGAUACCGUCGUAGUCUUAACCAAUAAACUAAUGCCGACUAGGGAUCGGAUGAUGUUAAUUUUAA
rnacentral:rRNA from 1 species